GACGAACGCUGGCGGCGUGCUUAACACAUGCAAGUUGAACGGAAAGGCCCUGCUUGCAGGGUACUCGAGUGGCGAACGGGUGAGUAACACGUGGGUGAUCUGCCCUGCACUUCGGGAUAAGCCUGGGAAACUGGGUCUAAUACCGGAUAGGAGCCAUUUUUAGUGUGAUGGUUGGAAAGUUUUUUCGGUGUAGGAUGAGCUCGCGGCCUAUCAGCUUGUUGGUGGGGUAAUGGCCUACCAAGGCGGCGACGGGUAGCCGGCCUGAGAGGGUGGACGGCCACAUUGGGACUGAGAUACGGCCCAGACUCCUACGGGAGGCAGCAGUGGGGAAUAUUGCACAAUGGGCGCAAGCCUGAUGCAGCGACGCCGCGUGGGGGAUGACGGCCUUCGGGUUGUAAACUCCUUUCGCUAGGGACGAAGCUUUUGUGACGGUACCUAGAUAAGAAGCACCGGCUAACUACGUG
rnacentral:rRNA from 1 species